rnacentral:lncRNA from 1 species
UAUAUGCUUCUCAAACGUCACGUGUCCUCCACACGUCUUACCUCACCAUGUGUCUUGCCUCAGCACUGGAGUCUUUCAGUCUGUGUCAGCUGACAUCACUUUAUCAAUCUUCACAAGUUGGCAGAAGUGGCAAGAAGCAGCCAGCCUGCCACCAGAAGUUUUUGGUGAAUUUCUCUCUACGGAGUCAUGACAAUUGGAGCUCAACGAUGCGUGUAAAGCGGACCAAUAGAUGUAUGUCAUCAGGAAGAAUCCUUCAUCACGAGUCCUUUCGUGCGCUUGCUUUAGCAAAACAUCCUCUCACCUGUGUCCAUUUCAGGAAAACACUCCUUCCAUGUGUUUGCCCCAGCAAAAUACCAGCCAACACAACUUUCCAAAGAAACCAGAAGCUUCCACCUCAUUGGACUAUUGAAGCGAGGAUGUUUUUAAGAGAAGCAAACCUGCAGAUUAUCUCACCGAAUUAGUCAGCUUCUAGGCAGGAAACAUGCUACAAUCAACACAAUUUAACGGAAAAGAACACAACUAAGGGACUAUUCACAGGGGCGUUGGCAAGACCGAGGCAACUAGCAACCGUGGGAAGCCAUUCCACCCAGACAGAGUGCUGCAGGGCCAUUGGAAGGAAAAGUGGCCAUUAGCGACCUGCGCCAGCCUGAAGCCGUAGAAGGAAACCUUUUGGACUGUGUGCUUAUUAAAUCUGUCCUUUCUGCCUUCAGGCUUUACCCACCUACAAAACCAUCCUUUAAGUCCUUUUUUAUGAAUCUCAGACCCAGGCAACUGUCCCAUCCUCACCAGGCAACUGCAACGCUCACCAAUUGGAUGACUCUAAAUCUGUCUCCUAUCUUGAGUCUCUCCUGCUCUGCGGGGGACUUCCAAAACAAGUAAAAUCAAAUCAAGCCAAA